GGGCAAGAAGAACUCGAACCAAAGUUGGAGAUGCAGUCAAGCUUGCAGAGGAGGUGCCCCCUCCUCCUGAAGGACUGAUUCCAGCACCUCCAGUCCCAGAAACCACCCCAACUCCACCUACUAAGACUGGGACCUGGGAAGCUCCGGUGGAUUCUAGUACAAGUGGACUUGAGCAAGAUGUGGCACAACUAAAUAUAGCAGAACAGAAUUGGAGUCCGGGGCAGCCUUCUUUCCUGCAACCACGGGAACUUCGAGGUAUGCCCAACCAUAUACACAUGGGAGCAGGACCUCCACCUCAGUUUAACCGGAUGGAAGAAAUGCUCACUUUGCAAAUAUCCAUUAAAUACCUGCCAUGUACCAAGUGUUUUUCAACACCUAAAGGAAGGUAGGACUUGAUAUGAGAGCCCUCUAGAAUUCUUAUUGUUUAGGCCUCUUUCUUUGUCUCAGGGUGUCCAGGGUGGUCGAGCCAAACGCUAUUCAUCCCAGCGGCAAAGACCUGUGCCAGAGCCCCCCGCCCCUCCAGUGCAUAUCAGUAUCAUGGAGGGACAUUACUAUGAUCCACUGCAGUUCCAGGGACCAAUCUAUACCCAUGGUGACAGCCCUGCCCCGCUGCCUCCACAGGGCAUGCUUGUGCAGCCAGGAAUGAACCUUCCCCACCCAGGUUUACAUCCCCACCAGACACCAGCUCCUCUGCCCAAUCCAGGCCUCUAUCCC
rnacentral:lncRNA from 1 species